GUCUAUGGCCAUACCACCCUGAAUGUACUCAAUCUCAUCUGAUCUCAGAAGCUAAGCAGGGUCAGGCCUUGUUAAUACUUGGAUGGAAGACAGAUCUUCAGAAGAGACUGCUCAGAAACAAGCAAUUUGAAGACA
rnacentral:rRNA from 1 species